CUACGGGCGGCUCCAGUGGGGAAUAUUGCGCAAUGGGCGAAAGCCUGACGCAGCCACGCCGCGUGAGCGAUGAAGGUCUUCGGAUCGUAAAGCUCUGUGGAGGGAGAAGAAUCAAGGCGGUGAAGAGCCGCCCCUGACGGUAUCCCUUUAGCAAGCACCGGCUAACUCCGUGCCAGCAGCCGCGGUAAUACGGAGGGUGCAAACGUUGCUCGGAAUCAUUGGGCGUAAAGCACACGUAGGCGGCCGAGCAAGUUGGGUGUGAAAGCCCAGGGCUUAACCCUGGAAGUGCACCCAAAACUGCUCGGCUUGAGUGCCGGAGGGGGUCAGGGAAUUCCCGGUGUAGAGGUGAAAUUCGUAGAUAUCGGGAGGAAUACCAGUGGCGAAGGCGCUGAGCUGGACGGUUACUGACGCUGAGGUGUGAAAGCGUGGGGAGCAAACAGGAUUAGAUACCCCGGUAGUC
rnacentral:rRNA from 1 species